AACGAACGCUGGCGGCAUGCCUAACACAUGCAAGUCGAACGAGACCUUCGGGUCUAGUGGCGCACGGGUGCGUAACGCGUGGGAACCUGCCCUUAGGUUCGGAAUAACUCCCCGAAAGGGGUGCUAAUACCGGAUAAUGUCUUCGGACCAAAGAUUUAUCGCCUUUGGAUGGGCCCGCGUUGGAUUAGCUAGUUGGUAGGGUAAAAGCCUACCAAGGCGACGAUCCAUAGCUGGUCUGAGAGGAUGAUCAGCCACACUGGGACUGAGACACGGCCCAGACUCCUACGGGAGGAAGCAGUGGGGAAUAUUGGACAAUGGGCGAAAGCCUGAUCCAGCAAGGCCGCGUGAGUGAUGAAGGCCUUAGGGUUGUAAAGCUCUUUUACCCGGGAUGAUAAUGACAGUACCGGGAGAAUAAGCUCCGGCUAACUCCGUG
rnacentral:rRNA from 1 species